rnacentral:rRNA from 1 species
AUUGAACGCUAGCGGGAUGCUUUACACAUGCAAGUCGAACGAGUGGCGGACGGGAGAGUUAUAUAUCGGCACGUGCCCAGUAGCGGGGGUUAAGUACUCGAAAGAGUGGCUACUACCGUCUACUUUUGGAGCGGCCGAUGUCGCAUGUGCUAGUUGGUGGGGUAAAGGCUCACAAAGGCGACGAUCCGUAGCUGGUUUGUGAGGACGACCAGCCACACUGGGACUGAGACACGGCCCAGACUCCUACGGGAGGCAGCAGUGGGGAAUUGUGGACAAUGGGGGAAACCCUGAUCCAGCCAUCCCGCGUGUGUGAGAAGGCCUUCGGGUUGUAAAGUACUUUCAGUCGGGAGGCGUUACCGACAGAAUAAGCACCGGCUAACUCCGUGCCAGCAGCCGCGGUAAUAC